rnacentral:lncRNA from 1 species
CAUAAUGCCCAACAUCUGCUUGCGGAUGUCCUGUGCCCUGCGUAAGGAGCGGGCUUGGAUAAAGUUUUCAUAGCACCAAGGAUUGGAAAACUUAUUGUUCUUCCAGGAAUUGUACACAGCCAGCAGAGUGAGGUGGUCACCUUCUGUCUGAUGGAACUUGGCUUUCUUCUGAUCAGCAAGUGCUUGUUUAUCCUUAGGCCUGUAGAACACAUUCUGAACAGACAGCAUGGAGACUAUUGUCAACAUUUCCUCACUGCAUCCCAGAUGUACAGACAUGAUCAACAUCUUACACAACAUGGGCUCCAACGGGAAUUCUGCCAUCCUGCGUCCAAGUCGAGUGAGCAGUCCCUCAUCAUCCAGGGCUCCCAGAGUGUACAGCUGCUCCAUGGCAGUGAUGAGAGUUUCCAUUGGGGGAGCAUCCAUAAAGUCGAAGGACAGCAAAUCAUUGAUGCCCAUAGCCUUCAGGGAGAGUACUGUACUGGCUAAAUUUGUUCUCUGGAUCUCAGGCACAUUGGUUGUUAGCAUUUCAUCUCGAUAAGCACGCUCUGUGUACAGCCUAUAGCAUUUCCCAGGUCCUGUUCUCCCA